rnacentral:rRNA from 1 species
CCUUGUACACACCGCCCGUCACACCAUGGGAGUGGGUUGUACCAGAAGUAGCUAGUCUAACCUUCGGGAGGACGGUUACCACGGUGUGAUUCAUGACUGGGGUG